UACGUAGGGUGCAAGCGUUAAUCGGAAUUACUGGGCGUAAAGCGUGCGCAGGCGGUUAUGCAAGACAGGUGUGAAAUCCCCGGGCUUAACCUGGGAACUGCAUUUGUGACUGCAUCGCUGGAGUGCGGCAGAGGGGGAUGGAAUUCCGCGUGUAGCAGUGAAAUGCGUAGAUAUGCGGAGGAACACCGAUGGCGAAGGCAAUCCCCUGGGCCUGCACUGACGCUCAUGCACGAAAGCGUGGGGAGCAAACAGG
rnacentral:rRNA from 1 species